rnacentral:lncRNA from 1 species
UUCCACCAGUUGAUUAAGAUCAGCAGCCAGUCAAGCCCAGAACACCCAGGUGAACAUCAGAGUCUUACAGAGCAGAUGACAACCUCCUGUUCUAGGAGUUGGACUUUGUUUCCUGCUCCCUCAGCAGCUGGCUAGGAUCCAGACAGAAGAUUAAACCCACCCU